GUGGAUCUGUAGCUCAGUGGUAAAGUGCUUGCCUCGCAUCUGUGAGGCACUGGGUUUGAUCCUCAGCACCACA
rnacentral:tRNA from 1 species